AGAGUUUGAUCAUGGCUCAGAUUGAACGCUGGCGGCAGGCCUAACACAUGCAAGUCGAGCGGUAGCACAGAGAGCUUGCUCUCGGGUGACGAGCGGCGGACGGGUGAGUAAUGUCUGGGAAACUGCCUAAUGGAGGGGGAUAACUACUGGAAACGGUAGCUAAUACCGCAUAAUGUCGCAAGACCUAAGUGGGGGACCUUCGGGCCUCAUGCCAUCAGAUGUGCCCAGAUGGGAUUAGCUAGUAGGUGGGGUAACGGCUCACCUAGGCGACGAUCCCUAGCUGGUCUGAGAGGAUGACCAGCCACACUGGAACUGAGACACGGUCCAGACUCCUACGGGAGGCAGCAGUGGGGAAUAUUGCACAAUGGGCGCAAGCCUGAUGCGGCCAUGCCGCGUGUGUGAAGAAGGCCUUCGGGUUGUAAAGCACUUUCAGCGGGGAGGAAGGCGGUGAGGUUAAUAACCUCAUCGAUUGACGUUACCCGCAGAAGAAGCACCGGCUAACUCCGUGCCAGCAGCCGCGGUAAUACGGAGGGUGCAAGCGUUAAUCGGAAUUACUGGGCGUAAAGCGCACGCAGGCGGUCUGUCAAGUCGGAUGUGAAAUCCCCGGGCUCAACCUGGGAACUGCAUUCGAAACUGGCAGGCUAGAGUCCUGUAGAGGGGGGUAGAAUUC
rnacentral:rRNA from 1 species